rnacentral:rRNA from 1 species
GAUGAACGCUGGCGGCGUGCUUAACACAUGCAAGUCGAACGAAGCACUUUAACCUGAUUCUUCGGAUGAAGGUUUUUGUGACUGAGUGGCGGACGGGUGAGUAACGCGUGGGUAACCUGCCUCAUACGGGGGGAUAACAGUUAGAAAUGACUGCUAAUACCGCAUAAGACCACAGAGCCGCAUGGCUCGGUGGGAAAAACUCCGGUGGUAUGAGAUGGACCCGCGUCUGAUUAGGUAGUUGGUGGGGUAACGGCCUACCAAGCCAACGAUCAGUAGCCGACCUGAGAGGGUGACCGGCCACAUUGGGACUGAGACACGGCCCAAACUCCUACGGGAGGCAGCAGUGGGGAAUAUUGCACAAUGGGGGAAACCCUGAUGCAGCGACGCCGCGUGAGCGAAGAAGUAUUUCGGUAUGUAAAGCUCUAUCAGCAGGGAAGAAAAUGACGGUACCUGACUAAGAAGCACCGGCUAAAUACGUG